UACGGAGGGUGCGAGCGUUGUUCGGAAUCAUUGGGCGUAAAGCGCGUGUAGGCGGCCCGGUAAGUCCGCUGUGAAAGUCCAGGGCUCAACCCUGGGAUGCCGGUGGAUACUGUCGGGCUCGAGUCCGGAAGAGGCGAGUGGAAUUCCUGGUGUAGCGGUGAAAUGCGCAGAUAUCAGGAGGAACACCAAUGGCGAAGGCAGCUCGCUGGGACGUGACUGACGCUGAGACGCGAAAGCGUGGGGAGCAAACAGG
rnacentral:rRNA from 1 species